rnacentral:rRNA from 1 species
UGGGGAAUAUUGCACAAUGGGCGAAAGCCUGAUGCAGCGACGCCGCGUGCGGGAUGAAGGCCUUCGGGUUGUAAACCGCUUUUGAUUGGGAGCAAGCGAGAGUGAGUGUACCUUUCGAAUAAGCACCGGCUAACUACGUGCCAGCAGCCGCGGUAAUACGUAGGGUGCAAGCGUUAUCCGGAAUUAUUGGGCGUAAAGAGCUCGUAGGCGGUUUGUCGCGUCUGGUGUGAAAGUCCAUCGCUUAACGGUGGAUCUGCGCCGGGUACGGGCAGGCUAGAGUGCGACAGGGGAGACUGGAAUUCCCGGUGUAACGGUGGAAUGUGUAGAUAUCGGGAAGAACACCAAUGGCGAAGGCAGGUCUCUGGGUCGUCACUGACGCUGAGGAGCGAAAGCGUGGGGGAG